GUGCUCGCUUCGGCAGCACAUAUAGUAAAAUUGGAACGAUACAGAAAAGAUUAGCAUGGCCCCUGCACAAGGAUGACACACAAAUUUGUGAAGCAUUCCAUAUUUUU
ensembl:snRNA U6 U6 spliceosomal RNA